CAGAGGUGGCAAGCGUUGUUCGGAAUUACUGGGCGUAAAGGGCGCGUAGGCGGUCUUGUAAGUCUUGUGUGAAAUCCCUCGGCUUAACUGAGGAACUGCACGGGAUACUGCGAGACUUGAGAUCGGGAGAGGGAAGCGGAAUUCCGGGUGUAGCGGUGAAAUGCGUAGAUAUCCGGAGGAACACCGGUGGCGAAGGCGGCUUCCUGGACCGACACUGACGCUGAGGCGCGAAAGCUAGGGGAGCAAACGGGAUUAGAUACCCCGGUAGUCCUAGCUGUAAACGAUGAGUGCUGGGUGUAGGGGGUAUUAACCCUCCUGUGCCGAAGCUAACGCAUUAAGCACUCCGCCUGGGGAGUACGGUCGCAAGGCUG
rnacentral:rRNA from 1 species